GUGCUCACUUCGGCAGCACAUAUACUAAAAUUGGAACGAUACAGAGAAGAUUAGCACGGCCCCUGCGCAAGGAUGACACGCAAAUUCGUGAAGCAUUCCAUAUUUAA
rnacentral:snRNA from 1 species